UUGAACCUAGGAGAUGUAAGGAGAGUGGAAAGAAAAGAAUUAUUUCUGGAAGAUGGGGAGCCAGUUUUGUGAAAAACGGGGAAUUCAGGAGGGAGGGAAAGGUGAUGAGUUUGCGUUUUUAUGAGGCAGCAAUGGGUUGAUUGUUUGUGUCUGGAAGGCAGUGGGGAUGUAGGGGAAUCAUAAGUAUUAAUAAAAUGUGCUGGUCGGGAGCAGUGGCUCCCAAAGUGUAAUUCCAGCACUUUGGGAGGCCGAGACGGGCGGAUCGCUUGAGCUCUUGAGUUCCAGACCACCCUGGGCAACAUGGCGAAACCCCGUCUCUACGAAAAAAUUAGCCGGGUGUGGUGGAGCACGCCUGUUAUCCCAGCUACUCAGGAGGCUGAGGUGGGAGAAUCACCUGAGCCCGGGAGGUAGAGGUUGCAGUGAGUGGAGAUCGUGUCACCACACUCCAGCGUGGGGGACAGAGCCAGACCUUGUCUCAAAAAAAGAAAAAAAAUUGCUCAUAGGAAGUCUAGAAACCUUGGCAGUUUCUGGGGAACUUAGGAAUCUAACAAGAAAUAACAUCAACUUUUUUCUGCAAAAUCCUCCAAAUCAGGAGGAAAUAAUUUCCUCAACUGUAGGGCUUAUUCAGUUUACUGAGAUGUUAUGAUUGAAUUGCAUCCCUCAAAACAGAUUUGUUGAAGUCCUAACCCCCAGUACCUUAUUAUUUCCAAAUAAGGUCAUUGUAGAUGUAACUAAUUAAAAUGAGGACAGGAAGGCCGGCACGGUGGCUCACGCCUGUAAUCCCAGCGCUUUGGGAGGCCGAGGAGGGGGGAUUACGAGGUCAGGAGAUCGAGACCAUCCUGGAUAACACGGUGAAACCCCGUCUCUACUAAAAAAUACAAAAAAUUAGCCGGGCGUGGUGGCGGGCGCCUGUAGUCCCAGCUACUCAGGAGGCUGAGGUAGGAGAAUGGCGUGAACCCGGGAGGCAGAGCUUGCAGCGAGCUGAGAUGGCACCACUGCACUCCAGCCUGGGCGACAGAGCGAGACUCUGUCUCAAAAAAAUAAGUAAAUAAAUAAAAUAAAAUGAGGACACGCUGGACUGGGGCAGGGACUAAUCCAACAUGGCUGCUGUUCUUAUGAGAAGAUGACUCUGUGAAUGCCAUGUGAAGAUGGAAGCGGAGAUUGGAAUGAUGCUUUCUACAAACCCAGAAAGGCCAAGGGUUGCCAAUAGUCACUAGAAACUAGGAGAGAGGCAUGGGCCAGAGUCCCCUUAGAGCCCUUUGAAGGAACAAGCCCGGAUAACACCUUGAUUUUGGGCUUCCAGCCUCCUGAACUGGAGAGAAUAAAUGACCAGUUUGUGGUCAUUUGUUACAGCAGCCCUAAGAAACUAAUACAAGAGGCCAUAAGGAUUCCUGGUGUUGCUUUCAGAGAUGGUCUGGUUCGCUAGCAAGACACAGUUUAUCACUUAGUAACUGCAUCACCAUAGUCAGUUUCUUAUCCUCUCUGAACCUCACCUUCCUCAUUUGUAAAACGGAGUUAAUGGUACCUACCUCACAGGGCUGCUUGGAGGAUGCAUGAGAAACUGGAUGCAAAGAACCCAGCAUAAGAUAAGAGUUCAAUCAAUGUGGUUUUGCCCAGUAAAGCAUCCCCCCUCUUCCUGAGAAAUGAUUAUGAAUGACCUAUAGGGGAAUCACCCUCCUUCCUGAAAGCAUUUAUUCAGAAAUAUGCUUUGACCAGAGCCAGAAAUACAAAGGAAAGAGAUAAGUAUUGCCUGAUUUACUGUAAACCAGAAUUGAUGCCUCCAAAAUGAAAGUCACCGUCUUCCCCCAAAAACUAGCUCCUUCUCACUUCCCUGUUUUUGUCACCCAGAUGCAGGUGUCUCUGGCUCUUUCUACUCCUUCCAUCAUUAUGUCUAGCCUGUUAUCUAGUUUCUGUGUUUUUAAAACUUUUGACUGAUCCAGGAUACAUGUGUGAUACAAAAGUUUCAUUAAAAAAAAAAAAAGGCCAGGUGUGGUGGUUCAACACUUGUAAUACCAGCACUUUGGGAGAGCAAGGCAGGCAGAUUCAUUGAGCCCAGGAGUUUACGACCAGCCUGGGCAACAUGGCAAGACCCCAUCUUUACCAAAAAUACCAAAAAAAAUUAGCUGGGCAUAGUGGUAUGCGCCUGUAGUUCCAGCUACUUGGGAGGCUGAGGUGGGAGAAUCCCUUGAGCCUGGGAGGUGGAGGUCGUAGUGAGCAGAGAUUGCACCACUGUACUCAAGCCUGGGUGGCAGAGUGAGACCCUGACUAAAUGAAAAACAAAAACAACCAUUGUAUUUUUGCAUGUGAUACAACCUGAUAUUUUCUAUUUCCUUCUUUUUUUUUUAAGUUAGGAGUGCAAAAGGUUUAUUGAAAAAAACAAAAACAAACUAAAAUCUGUUUUGAAGCCUGCAGGACAUUAGAGGGUGAUGUCCAAUAGAUAGAGAUGCACAUCUGAAGCUAAGGAGGAGCACUGAGCUGGGGUGUAUGUUUGGAGGCCGUCAGCCUGUAGAGAUGGUACUUUACUCAUGAGAACAGAUACGAGGAGCCAGGGAGAGGGGGUAGGCGUGAGAAAAGCACAGUGAGAUAAGGAGAGAACUCCUUGGGAGCACCACCAUUAGAUGUGGUUAGAGGAUUCCGAUUCCCAAGAAGAUUGAGAAACAAUGUUCACAUUUAAAAGGAAACAGGAGGCUGGGCACUGUGGCUCACGCCUGUAAUCCCAGCACUUUGGGAGGCCAAGGCAGGCAGAUCACCUGAGGUCAGAAGUUCGAGACCAGCUUGGCCAACAUGGUGAAACCCCAUCUCUACUGAAAAUACAAAAAUUAGCCGGGCGUGGUGGUGGGCGCCUGUAAUCACAGCUACUUGGGAGGCUGAGGCAGGAGAAUGGCCUGAACCUGGAGGCAGAGGUUGCAGUGAGCCGAGAUUGCACCACUGCAUUCCAGCCUGGGCGAUAAGAGAGAGACUCCGUCUCAAAGAAAACCAAAAAACAAAAAACACCACAUUGCAAUACCACUACACACCCAUGAGAAUACCUACUGGAAAUCUCAUACAUUGCUGAUGGAAGUGUGGGUUGGUUGAAUCACUUUGAAAAGCUGGCAAUAUCUACUAAAGCUGAAGAUUUGUAUAUCCUAUGGUCCUGCAGUCCAACCCCGGGUGUAUAUCCAACAGAAUGCAAACAAAUGUGCACUAAAGGACAUGCAACUAAUGGAGCUAUAUGUAUAAAAUUGCCAGUAUUUGCCAGUUGUCUAUUUGCAAAAAUGGCAAUUUCACAUGGUUAAACCUGAUUACAAGAAUGCUCAUAGCAGCACUAUUUGUAUUAGCCAAAACCUCAAUGGCAGAUUAUUGUGUAUAUAUUGAAUAAACGUUUCACCCAGUAACAUGGGUAAAUCCCACAAAUAUGAUGUUGAAUGAAAGAAGCCACACAGCUAUAUAUAAAGUACAAAAACAAGCCGGGUGCGGUGGCUCACGCCUGUAAUCCUAGCA
rnacentral:lncRNA from 10 species